GGUGGCCAUUGGCAACACAUGCAAGUCGAACGAGUGGCGGACGGGUGAGUAAUGUCUGGGAAACUGCCUGAUGGAGGGGGAUAACUACUGGAAACGGUAGCUAAUACCGCAUACCAUCAGAUGUGCCCAGAUGGGAUUAGCUUGUUGGUGGGGUAACGGCUAACCAAGGCGACGAUCCCUAGCUGGUCUGAGAGGAUGACCAGCCACAAGGGAACGUAGACACGGUCCAGACGCCUACGGGAGGCAGCAGUGGGGAAUAUUGCACAAGGGGCGCAAGUCUGAUGCAGCCAUGCCGCGUGAAUGAAGAAGGCCUUCGGGUUGUAAAGUACUUUCAGCGGGGAGGCGUUACCCGCAGAAGAAGCACCGGCUAACUCCGUGCCAGCAGCCGCGGUAAUUC
rnacentral:rRNA from 1 species